CUGAUUAGAACAUCUGCUCACAGUUUUUUCCUAUUUUAUUUGAAUUAAGUCUUUUAAAUUUGAAGUAAAAAGCCCCUCUUACCUUCUAUGACGUUGCGAAGGUUACAGUAGUUUGUGCCGUUAUCAAACAGACUGAACCAGAAUGCAGACACAGAAGAACCCUAAAGAUUGUUCUCACAGGACUGUGUGGUUGUUUGUGCAGUCAGAGUUUAUAUAGGACACUGCAUCACAAGGGACAGCUUGGAGACCGUUGGCCUGUCAUGUGGACCCGUGGAAAAGUGCAAUUGCUGCAGCCCUCCUCCUCCCCAGCCACCUCCAUUACAUCUCAGUGUCCAGGCCAUGUAUCCUACAUCCCUUCAACGCUUCUUCCGAUCAUCACAUCAGCGUCUGGGUCAAGCUCCUCUACUCCUCAGAAGUCUCUUACUCAUCUCAUCUUACUCCUUCCAUCACCACCACCAGUGUCUAGACUCCAUGGGGGGGUGUCCUAUCCUGCUGUCCACCUCACUUCAAGUUCAUAAAGACAUCACGAUGGAGUCUAUACGCCAAAGACAUUUCACAAUUCCAGAUAUUAUCAAA